ACGGAUUCAUUUUUUAUUGUGUUCAUGGUUGCCUAUCAAUGACACCGUUUUUAAUGUAUGUCUAAAAGAUUAUUAUCCGAAAAAUAAUUUACAAUAGUACGUUGUUACUGACUAGGUUGGUCCCCUCCGUAAAACAUUCAGUAUGCAUUCGGAACAUACAUAUAUUAAGGUAUUGUCAAGAAUUUCAAUAACGGCCGGGAAACAGACUAGUUG
rnacentral:lncRNA from 1 species